rnacentral:rRNA from 1 species
GAUGAACGCUAGCGGCAGGCUUAACACAUGCAAGUCGAGGGGUAUUGGUUUUCGGACCAAGAGACCGGCGCACGGGUGCGUAACGCGUAUGCAAUCUACCUUUUGCAGAGGGAUAGCCCCAGAGAAAUUUGGAUUAAUACCUCAUAGUAUAGUACUUUGGCAUCAAGGAACUAUUAAAGUCACAACGGCAAAAGAUGAGCAUGCGUCCCAUUAGCUAGUUGGUAAGGUAACGGCUUACCAUGGCUACGAUGGGUAGGGGUCCUGAGAGGGAGAUCCCCCACACUGGUACUGAGACACGGACCAGACUCCUACGGGAGGCAGCAGUGAGGAAUAUUGGACAAUGGGCGCAAGCCUGAUCCAGCCAUGCCGCGUGCAGAUGACGGUCCUAUGGAUUGUAAACUGCUUUACACAGAAGAAACAACGACUACGNGUAGCGUCUUGACGGUACUGUGAGAAUAAGGA